GGGGGCACAGUUUCUCUGAGCGCAAAUAAAAUAAUGGGAGAGAAAUGAGAAGGAAAACAAAAGCCAAGCGGAUUCCCGACUACGAAAAUGAAGCGGACGAGGAGGAAGAACAAAAAGCGGACGAAUUCCACCACGUUCUGCAGAAACGAAGAAAACAAAUGUAUCCUGCCAAAGAGCGAGCUGAGGGGAACCCAUCACCAGCUGCAGCUCGCCAGAAGUUGGACAUGAGGGCUUAUGAGUUCGACUGCUCUCCUGCAGACUACAACUUCAGCAACACUCACUCCACUUCUGAGCAGGAAGCUGACUAUUUGCAGUCAUAUUCGAAAAUGGAGCUGAUUGCCAUGGUCCUAUGCAUGCAGAGAGAAAUGGAGAGCUUGAAAGAGCAACUUAGGUGCCUUACAGCAUGUGGAAAGCUGGCCAAAAACCUUGAGGCCCUGAUCGAGAAGACCCAGAUGUGGCCUAAUGGGGAUAGGAAGCCCUCUCUCGCCGUCUCCCCCAGCCCAGUAAGAGUGCCUGUGGAUAUGGAUGCUUUGAUGCCAACUAUGCUGUGUGCCCCAACUGUUCUGAAUGGGCAGUGGGUCAAGCAGGAGUCUGUGACACAGAAACCUAAUGAGACCCCCCAUGGGGACGAGCUCUUCUCAGAGUUUAUCACUCCUGAGCUUUUGGAGAGAUGUAACACAGGAACCACUGCCCAGAAGUUGACCAAUGAUCUGCUCCGUGGACUUUAUGAAAGAGACUGCCUGGCCUCUCACUCCAUCUCUGGUGUGGUGUACAACAAGAGAGGUCAGCCCAAACCUGCCCUUCCCACUGAGGAGAUCCAGGCUAUCCUAAGAACUGUCCAAUAUUUCUUUCCUGGGAAGACUGACGCAGAGAUUAAGGGCUACAUCCGUCAGAAACUUCAAAAUGAGGCAAAACGAUUGAGGAAAAAGCCUUCACUCCCUGGCCCAGAAUCUAGAGCUUUGAGUCUGCCUGGCCCAAUAUUGAAUGCUCCUCACUUGGAAUUGAUUGGACAAAAGUCCAUCGUUUGAUUAGUAGUCAACAGUUUUGUGUCGUCUGAUGAGAUAACCUAAUUCAGUGUUAAAUAUGGUCAGGAAAUAAAAUUCUUGACUCAUACAAGAUUGAUGAGAGAUGAUGUAUACAUGAUCCUUGCCAU
rnacentral:lncRNA from 1 species